CUGAGAACCACGCCGCGCCUGACUGGUGGGGCCGAAUUCACCGUCAAAUUUCUGCUCUAACUCUCUCAUAUCAAAAGAGAGCGGAAAGUCACUCGAUCACCAGUUUAAAAGACUAAAUCCCUUAUUCCAUGCAUUCUGAUUACCAUGGCUUAUAUAGUAUUGAACAUGACAUAAACGAUAUAUGCUGAGAAUAUGGGUUAGAUCUGUUGGUGUUUUUCUGCCCUGCUAGGAUUCAGCGGAUUAUCCGCGCUUCACGUCUCAUAGCUAUCAAGGGCUUAAAACAAUGGUCGAAACCCAGCCCGAUUAUCCAGGGAGAAAACGAGAGCUCUCGUUCGAUUUCUGAUCGUGUUUCAACUUCCUCUGUUCGGCGAGGAAGAGUGGCUCAUGGCUCUUCUUUAAUCGUGAUAACACUUUGCAAGCAGUAUCCCAGCACCGGCGGCUCUAGUCUUUAAUGUUGAUUCUGGCUCCAAAUCACCUUUUGGUGUGAUAACUGAAAGAUUAACAAUUAUCAGUUCUAAGAUCAUCUCAAAAUUAUAAUAGAAACUUACGUCUUGUUCAGAAUUGCGUGAUAUUUCCGCCUGAAACUGUCCUUCAAAGUUGCUAUCUGAAAUAGAACUUGUGGACACUUCACUGAUGGCCUAGAGGGCUAGAAGGACGAGGUA
rnacentral:sRNA from 1 species